GACGAACGCUGGCGGCGUGCCUAAUACAUGCAAGUAGAACGCUGAAGCUUGGUGCUUGCACCGUGCGGAUGUGUUGCGAACGUGUGAGUAACGCGUAUGUAACCUGCCUGGUAUCGGGGGAUCACUAUUGAACACGAUAUCUAAUACCGCAUAACAUUAGAUAUCGCAUGAUAGCUACUUGAAAUUUGCCAAUGCACCACUACCAGAUGGACCUGCGUUGUAUUAGCUAGUUGGUGAGGUAACGGCUCAUCAAGGCAACGAUACAUAGCCGAACUGAGAGGGUGAUCGGCCACCCUGGGAGUGAGACACGGCACAGAGUCAUACGGGAGGCAGCAGGAGGGAAACGUCAGCAAUGGAUGGAAGACAGAGCGAGAAGCGCCGAGUGAGGGAAGAAGGUCUUCGGAUCGGAAAGGACUGUUGUAAGAGAAGAACGAGUGUGAGAGUGGAAAGUUCAGACUGUGACGGUAACGUACCAGAAAGGGACGGCUAACUACGUG
rnacentral:rRNA from 1 species